rnacentral:rRNA from 1 species
UACGGAGGGUGCAAGCGUUAUCCGGAUUCACUGGGUUUAAAGGGGGCGUAGGCGGGCAGGUAAGUCAGUGGUGAAAUCUCCAAGCUUAACUUGGAAACUGCCGUUGAUACUAUCUGUCUUGAAUACCGUGGAGGUGAGCGGAAUAUGUCAUGUAGCGGUGAAAUGCUUAGAUAUGACACAGAACACCCAUUGCGAAGGCAGCUUACAAAACUACAACUGACACUGAGGCACGAAAGCGUGGGGAUCAAACAGG